GCACUAGUACACCGAAAGAUGGGGCAACCGGCAAAGUCAAAUGUCAAAAUCACUACGUCAAAAUAUUAUCAACAACAAAUCACUUUCAUCUUUUCUUCGGUGACUUUUCUUGCGUUUAUUGAAGAACACAAAAUAAGAAAAACAAUGGUACAAGAAAAACGAUAUGGUGUUGAUAGUCGAUUGAUUGACGAAUUAAAAGUUCUACAGUUAAAGAGAAGGAAAAGAGCAAUGUUUCAACAAUUGGCCUUUGUGUCUUUCAAUAAUGGUGGAGAGACCGAAAUGAUGGUGACGGCUUCCCACAAGCGAAUAACCGUUGAUCUCAUACAGAAUUGUCGCCCGCCGGUUCAGGAGAUUGAUAGAAUUGAUGACACAACUGUUGAAAUAGUGAUGAGCGUUGCUCUGUUUAUAAGAAUAAGAUUCAGAAGUGCUGCUAGUUUAGACGCCUUUAAGAGAACGCUCGGAGAUCUAGCUGAAAAUGAUUCAUCAUCCUCAAGCUCGAGUGAAGAAUCCAAUGGGUCUACUUCGCCAGAGGGGUCCCAAACAUCAGUUUCAACCACAGACGAAACUAUGCUCACGUUACCGGGUGAAAUUUAAGUUUGUUAAAAAGCAAAUCACUCAAGUUUUUCAUAUUUUUAUUAUUUUCAUGGCAACUUAUUCAGCUAACUCUUAUAUUUUUCUAUUAAUAAAGGUGUAUCAUCAAUAAAAUAAUAAAUAAAUUAUUCAUAGGUUUAUUUAUGUCAAGAACACAAAUCCUUUUUGAUAACUGCAAUUUUAGUUAAUUCUAAUAUAAUUCAUUUGUUCAAUCUGUGACAAUAUUUGAUUUUUAAUUUUAAAUACUUGAAUUUGUUUGGCCGGAAUCGUAUUCCAAUGUGUGUUACAGUAGCCCAACAGAAAAACGUAAAAUCUUUGAAAAUGUUAAUUUUAAAAUAAACCUUAAAAACGGGGGUGUUUUCACAAUUUCUUCUGCUUUUCUGUUUACCCUUGAAAAUCCGGGAAUUUUCCUUAAAAAAUGGUUGUGUGCUGAAGGGGCCCUACUAUAGAUUAUAGAUUUUAUUGCCAUCAAUAAAUAAUACAUGGCGCGUCAUAUAAUUAUGUACAUGUAAGUGUAUAUGGGACAAUACAUACAUUUAUUUUAAAUCUGGAGGGUUAUCCAGGAACUCUUGGAUAGAAUAAUAACUCAUUUCUAAUAGUGCGUCCUUUACCUUCUUCUCAAACAGAGCCGGAGCUAGUCUCUUCAUCGGGUCCUGAAGCUUGUUAUAAAGCUUCGGGCCCCAAUGGUCAAUGCUGUGCUGUGACACUUUAAGCCGAUGGUACGGUGUUGAGAGCGCGUCAGCGUGUCUUGUGUUAUGCUCGUGAUAUGAGCCAUUCUUGAUGAACUCGUGGAGGUGGUUGUGGACGUACCUCAGACAGCUCAAUAUGUACGCGGAAGGGAUGGUAAGAAUUUGUUGUUGUUUGAAGGCUGGGCGGCAGCUUUCCCGAUAGUUCAUUUGGCACAGGAUUCUGAUUGCUUUCUUUUGCAGGACGAAGAUCUUGUCAGCAUCUGAUGAAGUACCCCAUAGAAGUAUACCAUAGGUGGCUUUGCUGUGGAAGUUAGCAAAGUAUGUCACCCUUGCAGCUUGGGGAGUUGAGAUAUUCUUGAUUCUUCUGAUACUGAAUAAAGCUGAUGCUAGGUUUUUGCAGGUUUCCUGAAUGUGGUCCUUCCAAGAUGCUUUGCUAUUUAGGUAAAAUCCCAAGAAUUUUACCGAUGUGACGUUGGUGGGUUUUGAAGAUAUAAAUAGUUCCUGAGUCUUGUCUCCAUUGAGUUUCAGUUUAUUUGCUGUGAACCAUUCAUUGGCAUCUUCAAGGAUUUUUCUCAUUUUUGGUUUUAGCGUAUCCUCUGUUUCUUCUUUGAUGCAGAAGGAAGUGUCGUCCGCAUAUAGACACUGUCCAUCCACUCUCAUAUUGAUAGGCAAGUCAUUUACAUAGAUUAUAAAUAGCAGUGGACCGAGGAUUGAUCCCUGGGGCACUCCACACCUUGUUGGCAGAGGCUUUGACCAUUUUUCAUUCCAUUUUACUAUCUGGGUUCUAUUUUCAAGGGAAGAAUUUGUCAAAGGCAGCUGUCAGAGUUGUAUGGAAGACAGUGUAGGCCUCUUUUGCAUUACGGUGUUUGAAGACACGAGCCCACUCAAUUCCGGUUAAGUACUCCUUAAAGUAGUUCUUGCACUGGGUUCUUAAUCUUCAGGACUUGACAGUAGUGAUCAGACAUGCACCAACUUUUUGUCUCUUUUGAGAAGAUUUCUUCUAUGUUAAUAUUUGAAAAUAUAUUAUCUAUGCAGCUAGAAGAAGUUUCAGUUGUUCUAGAUGCCUCUCUCAUUAGUGGUUGCAUACCAUAUGUUGUGAAAGUUUCGAUUAAUAAAGAUUGUUCGACGCCA